UACGUAGGGGGCAAGCGUUGUCCGGAUUACUGGGCGUAAAGAGCGUGUAGGCGGCCACGCAGGUCCGUUGUGAAAACUGGAGGCUCAACCUCCAGCUGUCGACGGAAACCGUAUGGCUAGAGUCCGGAAGAGGAGAGUGGAAUUCCUGGUGUAGCGGUGAAAUGCGCAGAUAUCAGGAAGAACACCAGUGGCGAAGGCAGCUCUCUGGGACGGUACUGACGCUGAGACGCGAAAGCGUGGGGAGCGAACAGG
rnacentral:rRNA from 1 species